CGUUAUCGGCCAUGACGGGGAGGAGCGCAGAGAGGCGGAGAAAGGAAGUCGAAAACAGAAAAACCAACCUUUGAACCGUUGUCUCGGUUUGUCAGUACUGUGAGAAAAGUUAAUUACCGAAGAAGCUUGGAUACUAAAAUAAGCUUUGGAGCUGCUUUUUUGUCUUACACGAGUGAGGCUGGACGCUGAAUACAACUGUGGCGCGAAGGUCUACUUGUUCUGCUGCAGCUUGGACAGAGACACCAACAUCACCUUACAGACGAACAGGCGUCACCACUUCGUCCACAACAUCGUCCACGAUCGCAGAGACUUCGUCCACGAUCGGAGAGACAUUGUUGAGGAUGAGGGAGACAUCGUCCAUGAUCAGACAUUGUCCAUGAUCGCAGAGACCUUGUCAAAGAUGAGAGAGACGUUGUCCGUGAUCAGAGACAUUGUCCCAUGCUUCGUAGAGACCUUGCGAUAGAAUCGGCGGAGACGGGGGUCACCGAUUUGACGGCACUGCCUGCGAUCAUGGAGACAUUGUCGAUGAUCACAGAGGCACCGUCUAUGAUCUCAGAGACAUCAUCCACGAUCACAAAGUCAUUGUCCAUGAUCACAGAGACUUUGUCCAUAAUCUCAGAGACAUUGUCCGCGAUCACAGAGAGUCUUUGUACACUGAAAAAGUGCUUUCAGACCAGGACUGAGGCCUCCAGGUGACACCACUUUGUCCACAACAUCGUCCACGAUCGCAGAGACUUCGUCCAUGAUCGGAGAGACAUUGUUGAGGAUGAGGGAGACAUCGUCCAUGAUCAGAGACAUUGUCCAUGAUCGCAGAGACCUUGUCAAAGAUGAGAGAGAUGUUGUCCAUGAUCAGAGACAUUGUCCAAUGCUUCGUAGAGACCUUGCGAUAGAAUCGGCGGAGACGGGGGUCACCGAUUUGACGGCACUGCCCGCGAUCAUGGAGACAUUGUCGAUGAUCACAGAGACACCGUCUAUGAUCUUAGAGACAUCGUCCACGAUCAUAAAGUCAUUGUCCAUGAUCACAGAGACUUUGUCCAUAAUCUCAGAGACAUUGUCCGCGAUCACAGAGAGUCUUUGUACACUGAAGAAGUUCUUUCAGACCAAGACUGAGGCCUCCAGGUGACAUCACUUUGUCCACAACAUCGUCCACAAUCGUAGGGACUUCGUCCAUGAUCGGAGAGACAUUGUUGAGGAUGAGGGAGACAUCGUCAAUAAUCAGAGACAUUGUCCAUGAUCGCAGAGACCUUGUCAAAGAUGAGAGAGACGUUGUCCAUGAUCAGAGACAUUGUCCCAUGCUUCGUAGAGACCUUGCGAUAGAAUCGGCGGAGACGGGGGUCACCGAUUUGACGGCACUGCCCGCGAUCAUGGAGACAUUGUCGAUGAUCACAGAGACACCGUCUAUGAUCUCAGAGACAUCGUCCACGAUCACAAAGUCAUUGUCCAUGAUCACAGAGACUUUAUCUAUAAUCUCAGAGACAUUGUCUGCGAUCGCAGAGAUGUAGCCCAUGAUCACAGAGAUGUUGUGCACGAUCGCAGAGAGUCUUUGUACAAUGAAGUUGUUUGAGACGAGGACAGAGGCUUCCAGGUGUCACCACUUCAUCAACAUCAUUGUUUAUGAUUGCUGAGACGUCGUCCACGUUUCUAGUCAUUGUCCAUGAUCAGAAACAUUGUCCAUCAUUGCAGAGACAUUAUCCACGAUCACAAAGACAUUGUCCAUGAUCGCAGAGACAUUGUCCAUGAUUUCAAAAAUAAGGAGGAGAGGACCGCAUCACAUGAAGAGGACAACAAAAGUAGUCAAAUAUUCUUCAAGAUGUUAAGAGAUGUGUAAGACUUAAAUCAGCAUAUUCUUAUGUGCUCAUUAUUACAUUAAAUGUGGAUUCAGAGAAUAAAACA